UAGGGAAUCUUCCGCAAUGGACGAAAGUCUGACGGAGCAACGCCGCGUGAGUGAAGAAGGAUUUCGGUUCGUAAAACUCUGUUGUUAGGGAAGAAAAAAUGUAUAGUAACUAUAUACAAAAGAGACGGUACCUAACCAGAAAGCCACGGCUAACUACGUGCCAGCAGCCGCGGUAAUACGUAGGUGGCAAGCGUUGUCCGGAAUUAUUGGGCGUAAAGCGCGCGCAGGUGGUUUAGAAAGUCGGAUGUGAAAGCCCACGGCUCAACCGUUGAGGGUCAUUGGAAACUAAUAAACUUGAGUGCAGGAGAGAAAAGAGGAAUUCCUAGUGUAGCGGUGAAAUGCGUAGAUAUUAGGAGGAAUACCGGUGGCGAAGGCGACUUUCUGGACUUGAACUGACGCUGAGGCACGAAAGCGUGGGGAGCAAACAGG
rnacentral:rRNA from 1 species